rnacentral:lncRNA from 1 species
GUGUAGUUCUAGAUGAGCAUGUAGCCCAGGUUAUCGACGGCACUGACGAAGAGCUCAUCCUAGGCCCAUUCUCCUUGCCGUGGCCGAGUUUAGCUGCGCCGGAAUAUAUGGGUGAUCAUAGGGGACGCCCUCAGGUUGAGAAUGUUCAUCUAACCAUUUACUCUGUUGUCCAACAAAAGAGACCACCAAAAUCAAAUAUCACUCAGCCAAGCAAGCACAAUUAAAUCGAGUAUUUACAUUAUUCAAGCCAUCAAAGAUAUCUUGAGAUUUUUCAUCCCCUAUGUGCAUAGUACCAAUCAAAUUAACUCUCCAGAUUAUGUUUACUCUAGCUGUACAACAUAAAAGAAAGAAAUAGUAGGCUGCAUAAAAGAAACAAAAGCCCAUAAAGAUUCUGGACCAGCAUAACACUCCAGUUAAAUAAAAUUCAAGCUCUUUGUAUUGAGGGAAUCGUUUAAGCCACUUUGUGGAAGACAUUUAUGCCAAAUGUGGUGGUCCAUGACCAAGCCUCUUUUUACUUGUAGCAAUAUAAACACUUGCAGGGGAGGGGUUCCAACGUAAGCCCAAAUAAAUUAGAGCUUACCACCUAUGUCGAGGAGGAAGAAUAAUCAAGGCCACCGGAUGGGCAGGGCAGGAGUCAUCAGGAGAGGCCACCUUGGUAGCAUCCGAUCCUCGCCAGAUUGGAGCAGCUUUUCCUUUCACCAGAUGGUAGCAAAGAGCACACAACCUGCGGUGUUGCUGCAAGAAAAAGCAUCAUGUAAUCAGGGAAUGCAAUGAGUUGUUAAGGUACUAGACUUCAAUACACAAGAUCAAUUCUUUUAAAAAUACACCAUGUCAAAUUAUACUGAAUGCACAAGAAACAAAAUCCCAUAAAGAUUCUAGACCAGCAAAAUUCUCCAGUUAAAUAAAAUUCACGCUCUUUGUAUUGAGGGAAUCAUUCAAGCCACUUUGUUAGGAAGACCGAUGAAUAAAAUGGGUACCGAUAUGAAACAAGAAGGGUUGUAAGACUGGAAACUAACGACUACAAUAUGAGUGUAAGUAGCCGUUCAAGGAUCCAAUUCAUCGAAAAUAAAAUACUGCUAAACACAAGCAGUCGACUUUGUGCACUCAGCCAGUGGAGGUGAGCAUCAGAUAAAAAAUUGUUGAAGGUACUUGUUUUGCACAAGUGUGGUGGGACUUUGCAUCUACCAGUUGGUCAAAUUUCAUGGCCAAUUGCAAGAUACAAUGAUUUGUGCUUAUGUGGUGGUCCAUGACCAAGCCUCUUGUUACUUGUAGCAAUACAAACACUUGCAGGGAAGGGGUUCCAAUGUAGGCCCAAACUAAUUAGAGCUUACCACCUAUGCUGUGGAGGAAGAAAAAUCGAGGUGACCGAAGGGGCAGGGCAGAAGUCGUCAAGAGAGGCCACCUUGGUGGGCAUCCUCACAGAUCGGAGCGGCUUUUCCUUUCACCAGAUGGUAGCAAAUAGCACAAAACCUGCGGUGCCGCUGAAAAAGCAUCACGUAAUCAGUGAAUGCAAUGAGCGGUUAAAGUACCCUUCAGCAAACAUGCAAUCCAGUAAGCAUGAAAAGGUACUGGACUUCAAUACAUGAGAUCAAUUCUUCCAAAAAAACACACUAUGUCAAAUUAUACUGAAUGCAGGCACCAGUACCAUAAUUGUCUAUCCAGGAAUAUUCAAGCCAAGAAAAAAGAAACCUAUAUAGCUAGAUUUCCGAGCAAUCAAACAAAUUCUCAUCUAGCCAUUUACUCUGUUGUACAACAAUGACACCAGUGAUCAAAUUCAAAUCUCACCCACCCAAGCAAGCAAAAAUUAACCAAAUAUUUAAGUUAUUCAAGCCAUCAAGCAAAUCUUCAGCGUACCAUCUCCUAUGUAUACUCUAGUUGUACAAGAUAAAAGAGAUAAUAGACUGCACAAAUAAAAGAAACAAAAGAUUUUAAGAAACUGUUAAGAUACAUACAUCUUCCAAACCAAGCUGGAGUGCAAGGUACAGUGCACUAUCAGAAGGUUGGCAAGAGAAAAUGGGUACUGUAGAAACUAACAUUGUACUCCAAAAUAGGUGUAAGAAGCAGUUCAAGGAUCUAAUUCAUCAAAAAUAAAAUACUAGUUGACACAGACAGUGGUGAAGGUGAUCAUCCGAUAGUAAAUGGUAGGUAGUCAAAUUUUAUGACCAAUUGCAAGCAAAUCAACCAGCCUUGAGUUGUCUAGGUUUAUUUCCUUAAUUAGGGACUAGCUUUCAAUUUUUUAUUAGAAGAAAUAAGAAGACAAUUUCCAUGAGCCGAUACAAGACAGCUAAACCCCAGUUUAUAAUACAGGAAACAAACAUGGGAAGGCUCUUUCAUAACUCAAUUGAAAUGAUGAUACAUAUGGGCGAAACAAAGCAAUUGACUUAUCACAUAUGUUAUGAUCCAUGACCAAGCCUCUUGUUACUUGUAACAAUAGAAGCGCUUGUUUGUUUAGCACUAAAACCGCAGAAAUCGAGAUGCACAAAUGUAAGCCUAUAUGGCAUGAUGGCCAGCGUAAAAUUCAACACGGUUCAAUGCUCAUGAACACAAUCAACAGAGAGAGAGAGAGAGAGAGAGAGAGAGAGAGAGAGAGAUUUUACAAACCACCUUGUGUAAGUCAACGCAGCAGCGGG